UCCCUGGUGGUCCAGUGGUUAGGACUCCACACUUCCACUGAUGGGGUUCCAUGUUCAAUACCUGGUCAGGGAA